rnacentral:rRNA from 1 species
UACGGAGGGUGCAAGCGUUGCUCGGAAUUAUUGGGCGUAAAGGGUAGGUAGGUGGUCUCAUUUGUCUGGGGUGAAAGCCUUGAGCUUAACUCAAGAAGUGCCCCAGAAACGGUGAGACUAGAGUCCUGGAGAGGGUCGUGGAAUUCCCGGUGUAGCGGUGAAAUGCGUAGAGAUCGGGAGGAACACCAGUGGCGAAGGCGGCUCACUGGCCCGAUACUGACGCUGAGGUGCGAAAGCGUGGGGAGCAAACAGG